rnacentral:rRNA from 1 species
GAAACCAACAGGGAUUGCCUCAGUAACGGCGAGUGAAGCGGCAAAAGCUCAAAUUUGAAACCCUCGGGAUUGUAAUUUGAAGAUUUGGCAUUGGAGAAAGCUAACCCAAGUUGCUUGGAAUAGUACGUCAUAGAGGGUGACAACCCCGUCUGGCUAACCGUUCUCCAUGUAUUGCCUUAUCAAAGAGUCGAGUUGUUUGGGAAUGCAGCUCAAAGUGGGUGGUAAACUCCAUCUAAAGCUAAAUACUGGUGAGAGACCGAUAGCGAACAAGUACUGUGAAGGAAAGGUGAAAAGAACUUUGAAAAGAGAGUGAAAUAGUAUGUGAAAUUGUUGAUAGGGAAGGAAAUGAGUGGAGAGUGGCCGAGGUUUCAGCCGCCCCUCGUGGGCGGUGUACUGCCGACGCCGAGUCAUCGAUAGCGAGACGAGGGUUACAAAUGGGAGCGCCUUCGGGCGUUCUCCCCUAACCCUCCACACUGCCNCC